rnacentral:rRNA from 1 species
AGAGUUUGAUCCUGGCUCAGAGCGAACGCUGGCGGCAGGCUUAACACAUGCAAGUCGAGCGGGCGUAGCAAUACGUCAGCGGCAGACGGGUGAGUAACGCGUGGGAACGUACCUUUUGGUUCGGAACAACCCAGGGAAACUUGGGCUAAUACCGGAUAAGCCCUUACGGGGAAAGAUUUAUCGCCGAAAGAUCGGCCCGCGUCUGAUUAGCUAGUUGGUGAGGUAAUGGCUCACCAAGGCGACGAUCAGUAGCUGGUCUGAGAGGAUGAUCAGCCACAUUGGGACUGAGACACGGCCCAAACUCCUACGGGAGGCAGCAGUGGGGAAUAUUGGACAAUGGGCGCAAGCCUGAUCCAGCCAUGCCGCGUGAGUGAUGAAGGCCCUAGGGUUGUAAAGCUCUUUUGUGCGGGAAGAUAAUGACGGUACCGCAAGAAUAAGCCCCGGCUAACUUCGUGCCAGCAGCCGCGGUAAUACGAAGGGGGCUAGCGUUGCUCGGAAUCACUGGGCGUAAAGGGUGCGUAGGCGGGUCUUUAAGUCAGGGGUGAAAUCCUGGAGCUCAACUCCAGAACUGCCUUUGAUACUGAGGAUCUUGAGUUCGGGAGAGGUGAGUGGAACUGCGAGUGUAGAGGUGAAAUUCGUAGAUAUUCGCAAGAACACCAGUGGCGAAGGCGGCUCACUGGCCCGAUACUGACGCUGAGGCACGAAAGCGUGGGGAGCAAACAGGAUUAGAUACCCCUGUAGUCC